GUCCACGCCCUAAACGAUGUCGACUGGUUGUUGGGGGUUUGACACUCUCAGUAACGAAGCUAACGCGUGAAGUCGACCGCCUGGGGAGUACGGCCGCAAGGUUAAAACUCAAAGGAAUUGACGGGGACCCGCACAAGCGGUGGAUUAUGUGGAUUAAUUCGAUGCAACGCGAAAAACCUUACCUACCCUUGACAUGUCCUGGAGGCCCCAGAAAUGGGGCUGUGCCCGAAAGGGAACGGGAACACAGGUGCUGCAUGGCUGUCGU
rnacentral:rRNA from 1 species